rnacentral:rRNA from 1 species
UACGUAGGGAGCAAGCGUUGUCCGGAUUUAUUGGGCGUAAAGAGCGUGUAGGCGGCCUUACAGGUCAGCUGUGAAAACUCGAGGCUCAACCUCGAGACGUCGGUUGAAACCGUAUGGCUAGAGUCCGGAAGAGGAGAGUGGAAUUCCCGGUGUAGCGGUGAAAUGCGCAGAUAUCGGGAAGAACACCCGUGGCGAAGGCGGCUCUCUGGGACGGUACUGACGCUGAGACGCGAAAGCGUGGGGAGCGAACAGG